rnacentral:lncRNA from 10 species
UGGGGUGGGGGUGGUGAGCCUAUUUUGUGGUGUCCAGUGGGCAGCAGGGGCCAGGCUGUGGCCUGUGCUGGGCAUCUGGUCUGACGUGGCUGCCACCCUGGAGCAAGGCCCCAAGGGGCCCAUCUCCUCAAUCCUGAGCCUGCAGCCCCAUGAUGGCUCACACACUAGGAUGGAUUUGGGCCACAGCCGGCUGCCAUCUCCCAGGGGCCUUCCCCGACUCAGCCCCACUGGACCGGACACCACGCAAUCAAAGCCUUUGACCACUGCGCCAGGGCUGAGCUGACUCCUCUUCUGGGCUGGAACUGUGGGGCUUGAGAGAAGGAAAUUGGGACCAGGCAGGCAGGAGGGGCUAAUGGUAUCAGGAGGUCAGGGCUGCGGGAAGAGGCAGCAGUGUUGGUGGUGUAGGGGUCUCUCCCCACGGCUUUACCUCUGCUCUUGCUGGGAUCCUGGUAUUUCACUUUCCAACUCCUGUCUACGUGUGCUAGGAAAGUCUAUCUCCUCCCCAGUCCUAACCCCAAUUUUUCACCCUCAGGAAAACCACAGAAGACCCUGAGCCUCCGGACAGGUGGACAACCCAGGACCGGUCCUGAAAUCCAGGGAAGCAACGGGGGUGGGGUGGAGUGAGGGGGGCACUUUCACAGGAGAGACAAUAAACGGAGAAAUGAUUCCGUCUGUCGCCAAAUCUGCCAAAGGUUUCUCCACGUUCCCCUCCCAUCAACUCAUCCUCUUUCUUCCUUGUAACAGCUUUACUGGGAUAUAAUUCACAUACCAUCCAAUUCACGCUUUUAAAUGAUAUCAUUUGUUGUUUUUAGUAUAUUUACAGAGCUGUGCAGUCAUCACCAUAUCUAAUUUUGGAAUAUUUUCACCAUCCCUAAGAAGAGGCGCUGUUCCCCAGAAAUGCUCCCCAUCUGCCCGCAGCAGCCCAGGCCUGGCUCCCACGAGUCUGUGUCCUGUCUCUGUGAGUCUGUCUGUUGGGGACGUUUUAUGUGCAUGAAAUCAUACCACACGCGGCCUCUCGUGCCUGGCAUCCUGCUUCCAAGGCUUCCCGUGCUGCCGCUUGUCAGUGUCAUUCCACUUUAUGGCUGAAUGACAUUCCGGCGUGUGGCCACGUUAUAUGACAUUCCGGUGUGCCGGCGUGUGGCCGCGUUAUAUGACAUUCUGGUGUGCUGGCGUGUGGCCGCGUUAUAUGACAUUCCACGUUAUGUGACAUUCCGGUGUGCUGGCGUGCGGCCGCGUUAUAUGACAUUCUGGUGUGCUGGCGUGUGGCCGCGUUAUAUGACAUUCCAUGUUAUGUGACAUUCCGGUGUGCUGGCGUGUGGCUGCGUUAUAUGACAUUCCAUGUUAUGUGACAUUCCGGUGUGCCGGCGUGUGGCCGCGCAUCACAGGAUGGACACCUGGGCUGUUCCCAUGUAAUGUGGCUAUCACGACUGAUACGGUUAUUACGACUGAUACGGUUUGGAUCUGUGUCCCUGCCCACAUCUCCUGCUGAAGCCUAGCCCCCAAUACUGGAGGUGGGACCUGGCAGGAGGUGGCUGGAUCAUGUGGGUGGAUUUGGCAUGAACGGCUGAACACCGUCUGUUGGUGCUGUCCUCACUGUAAUGAGUGGGUUCUGGUGAGGUCUGGUCGGUUAGAAGUGUGUGGCCCCUCUCCCCACCCCUUGCUCCUGCUCUUGCCAAGUGAUGUGCCCGCUCCCCCUUCGCCUACCACAGUUGAAUGUUUCCUCGAGGACUCCCCAGAAGCAGAGGCCAACACCACGCUUCCUCUACAGCCUGCAGAACCAGAAGCCAAUCAGACCUCUUUUCUUAUGAAUCACGCAGUCUGAGGUAUUUCUCUACAGCAGUGCAGGAAUGGCCUGAAACAGGGACUCAGGUUGCUGUGAAUGCCUGAGUGAGUUUACGUGUAGAUGUGUGCUUUCAUCUCUGGCCGCAGAGCUGUGGGGCCAUGUGGUGGCUGUGUCCAACCUUUUGAGGAACUGCUGGACUAUGUUCAUAGCAGCUCAUCUCAUCUCUUACCUUAAAGAUGCUCUAUGUCAAAUGCCAGCAUUUGAUCAACACGUAAUCAGCAUGUUAGUUUUCCUCUUCACGAGCAUCACAGUGCUAGCCUUGCCUACUACCUCCUCCUGAAAAUGGACUUAUCUGAGUGACUUUCAAGAUGUCUGUAGGUUAUGCAGACCUCUGUGGGCUGGCCGGGGCCCAGAACCAGCUCUGACAGUGUCCCUUCGACUUCCUGCUGGAGUUCUGCACCUGUACAACUGCACCCGGGCCCCCCGGCCCUGUACGCUGCUUACCCUGUACGCUGCUCAUGCACUCAGGCAGGCUGCAAGUGCCGGAUGGCCUGGGAGAUGGGCACUGUGGGUUGCUAGUUUAUUUAAAGGUAUGUUUACUAAAUGGCCUUAGGAAACCCAAGAAAAAAGUGUUGCCCAAGUAGACUAUUCCAUUCGCUGGCACUGAUGCACCACAGGCAGGACGUGGUCCAGUGGAACUCACAUGGGCUGGUGGGAGAGGGCACUGGUCCAACGGAACUCACACGGGCUGGUGGGAGAGGGCACUGGCCCUGCGCGUCCCACUCCCUGCAGGUGAACUGUUCCUGAGCCCAAGCUCCCAGCAGCAUCCCUUCUGCCCCUGCCCCUGCCCAGCUCUGUGCUGUGGGCCAGAGCAUGUGCCUCCUCGGUUCCCUCUUUCUGCCUCCUGGCCUCCCUUAAGGUCAGAAAGGGGCCAGUGCUGAAGCCUGAGGCUGAAGCGCACAGCACACAGCCGCCCUGGGGCCUGGGAGCGCU